GUAGUCCACGCCGUAAACGUUGGGCGCUAGGUGUGGGCUGUCUUCCACGCAGUCCGUGCCGCAGCUAACGCAUUAAGCGCCCCGCCUGGGGAGUACGGCCGCAAGGCUAAAACUCAAAGGAAUUGACGGGGGCCCGCACAAGCGGCGGAGCAUGUGGCUUAAUUCGAUGCAACGCGAAGAACCUUACCUGGGCUUGACAUGCAGGGAAAUCCGGUAGAGAUAUCGGGUCCGCAAGGGUCCUGCACAGGUGGUGCAUGGUUGUCGUCAGCUCGUGUCGUGAGAUGUUGGGUUAAGUCCCGCAACGAGCGCAACCCUCGUCCUAUGUUGCCAGCGGGUAAUGCCGGGGACUCAUAGGAUACUGCCGGGGUCAACUCGGA
rnacentral:rRNA from 1 species